CCCUCCCCUGGAAACUCACCCCUGGGAGAGGACAUUUGGAGGAGAAACCUCUCCAGAUUUGCAUCCUGCUCCAUUUCUGGAUAUUGCACAACCGGCGUCUUGUGCAACCAGGCCUGCAAGUGUGCGUAGUUGCCAGCUGCUUCUCCCUGGCAGGGCUCUUCUGCCUUUAAGAGCCCCAGGCGAGACUUUCCGCCAGGUGCUGUUUCCUUGCCUCUGAUCCAUUCCGCAACCGGCUGGAUCCCGAAGCUGUUAUGGGUGCAGCAACCAUAAUAUUGGGUAAACUUCUUAAGGGCUUCAUAUACUAAUAGGAACACUGCAAACUUGACCUGGUAGCUAAUCGGCAACUGGUUAUGGCUCCUGAAGGCCAGGGCGUCAGGAACCACCACCACGGUGAAUUUCCUUACCAAAACCCGCUUUUAACAAAGCUCCCUGUCUGCGGAAUUAAACAACGAUGGUGCCAUUCAGAGUCCGUGCUUCUGAACGUUGUGUUGAAUCCUAGAAUUGCAGAGUUGGGGCCCCAGGGGUCAUCUAGUCCAACCCGCUGCAAGGCAAGAAUUUCAACUAAAGCAUCUGUGACAGAUGGCCGUCCAACCGCCAUCUGCUUAAAAACCUCCCAGGAAGGAGCGUCCACCACCUUCCAUCCCACGAUCAAAUAGCUCUCACUGUCAGAUAGUUUUUCUUGACGUUGAGUCGGAAUCUCCUUUCUCGUCGCUUGAAGCCAUGGGUUCGGGGUUCGAGUCCUACCCUCCAGAGGAGGAGAAAGCAAGCUUCUCUCUUGACUUUCUUUUUCUUUCUCUAUCCCCCUCUCCCUUUUUUGUUCUUUUAAAGUCUUUGUUUGGUUAAAAACGCGGGAGAAAGAUAUAAAGCUUUGUAUUUUCCUC